rnacentral:rRNA from 1 species
UACGUAGGGGGCAAGCGUUGUCCGGAUUUAUUGGGCGUAAAGAGCUCGUAGGCGGUUCGGUAAGUCAGGUGUGAAAUCUCCACGCUCAACGUGGAGGCGCCACCUGAAACUGCCGUGACCGUAGAGUCCGGAGUAGGGGGAGUGUGGAAUUCCCGGUGUAGCGGUGAAAUGCGCAGAUAUCAGGAGGAACACCAGUGGCGAAGGCGCCGCUCUGGGCCGUGACUGACGCUGAGGCGCGACAGCGUGGGGAGCAAACAGG